rnacentral:rRNA from 1 species
UACGUAGGGUGCAGGCGUUAAUCGGAAUUACUGGGCGUAAAGCGUGCGCAGGCGGUCUGUUAAGAGAGAUGUGAAAUCCCCGGGCUUAACCUGGGAACUGCGUUUCUAACUGGCAGGCUUGAGUGUGGCAGAGGGGGGUGGAAUUCCACGUGUAGCAGUGAAAUGCGUAGAGAUGUGGAGGAACACCGAUGGCGAAGGCAGCCCCCUGGGCUAACACUGACGCUGAGGCGCGAAAGCGUGGGGAGCAAACAGG